UUGGUACUUGGAGAGUGGUUAUCCCUGUCCUGUUCGUUUUACUCAUGUCGAAUCGUACAGGGUCAUCCACUUUUUCAGUAUCAA
ensembl:miRNA microRNA 487b